rnacentral:misc_RNA from 1 species
AGGUGGUUACAUUCAGAGCAGGACCAGUCAUGUUUGGGGAACGCCUAUCAGUCAGUUAGAGAUUGUGAGUUUUCUUGUGAACAAGAGCAACCAUGGAUCCCCGUUCUACUGCCCAAGAUGUGCACCGAUGUGACCUUUGUGAGACCGCCAUAGUACACAGCUACUGUGACAUUUGUCAUUUCAACCUCUGCAAGCCCUGCAUUGGAGAUCACAUCUCAGAUGGAUAUCUUAAACAUGCAAUUGUGCCUUUCCAGGAGCGAAGAUCAACCCUUAUUUAUCCAAAAUGUGAAACACAUCCACAUAAAACUUGCAAAUAUCAAUGCGAGGAUUGCAACAAUAUCUUUGUUUCUUCCUCCUGCACUGCAUCCAAGCAGCACAAAGGACAUAACUUUGUAGAAGUUACAGAAGUUUACAAGACAAAGAAAGAAGUUAUUAAAAAAGACAUUAAAGAGUUAGAAAAUCAUAUUUCUCCUUCUUAUGAGAAAAUUACUCUGGAAUUGGAACAAACGCUUGCCAACCUGGAUGUAGGAUAUGAGAAACUUACAGCAACAAUGUCCAAACAAGGAGAGGAAUGGCACAGAGAAAUCGACAUCGUUAUCAACAAAAUGAAAGCUGAAAUCAGCGAGAUAAAAAAGCAACACAGAGCAAUUUCACAGAAACAUUUGAAUCAAAUCAAACAGUUACAGUCUGCCAUAAAACAAUCAUUAUUGGCCAUACGAGAAAUUGAGAAUUCCUUAGAGGUAUCUUCUACCAUUGAAUACAGUUCUAGGAUUAGUGAGUUUAGCAAGAUUCCACCCAAGGUUCAGGUAUCACUGCCAACAUUCAUUCCAAAACCAAUAGAUCGUGAGAAGCUGUAUAGUUUGUUUGGACAUAUCACCCCAUUACCUAUGGCUACAGAAGAAAAUGACUUGUCACUGAACCAACCAAAUACUUCAGUCAGAGAACCACUGGAUGAACCUGAGCUUGUUACCACAAUACAGACUAGGCGUGAAUAUCUACGCAGUGUAACCUGUCUUAAUGAAGACAGGAUAUGGACGAGUGGACAGACCAAUGACAUAAAAUGCUUCAACAUUAAAGGUUCACUCCUCCAAACAAUCCAGACAAAAUCAGGUAAUUUUCCUUAUGAUAUAGCUGUAGACAGUGAUGGAUAUCUACUAUACUCUGAUUGGUUAACAGGAACAGUGAAUAGAGUAAAGAAUAGACAACAGAAGAAUUGAUCAGAUUACAGGGAUGGAUGUCUGGUAAUCUGUGCGUCACCUCUACUGGUGAUCUCCUGCUUACUAUGUUCAGUGUUGAUAACACUCAAUCCAAAGUUGUCCGUUAUUCGGGAUCUGUCGAGAAACAAACAAUUCAAUUUGAUGAGGAAGGUAAACCUCUGUACUCAGGAAAUAGCAAUACUAAAUACAUCACAGAGAACAGAAACCAUGACAUCUGUGUAGCUGACUGGGAGGCUGGUGCAGUAGUGGUGGUUAAUCAGGACGGCAAACUCAGAUGGAGAUACACCGGUAAUCCCCCAGUUACCAUGAACAAACCAUUUAAACCCUAUGGUAUCACAACAGACAGUCAGAGUCGUAUCCAGACAUCAGACUGUGGCAACCAUUGUAUCCACAUUCUGGAUCAGAAUGGACAGUUUUUCUGUUACAUUGAUAACUGUGAUCUGGAGGAUCCAUAUGGUUUAUGUGUGGACAAUAAUGACAAUCUGUUCGUGUGUGAGUACAACAAAGGCAAUGUAAAGAAAAUCAAAAAUUUAAAAUAGACAUCAUCCAUUUAUACGAUGAGAUGGGAAUAAAACAAAAGUGGCCGUACAUAAUUUGUCUUAGUAUAUUGAUGUUUAUUGCUUGGAUUUCUUAUUAAAUACACUCCUGAUACU